AACGAACGCUGGCGGCAUGCCUAACACAUGCAAGUCGAACGAGACCUUCGGGUCUAGUGGCGCACGGGUGCGUAACGCGUGGGAACCUGCCCUUAGGUUCGGAAUAACUCCCCGAAAGGGGUGCUAAUACCGGAUAAUGUCUUCGGACCAAAGAUUUAUCGCCUUUGGAUGGGCCCGCGUUGGAUUAGCUUGUUGGUAGGGUAAAAGCCUACCAAGGCGACGAUCCAUAGCUGGUCUGAGAGGAUGAUCAGCCACACUGGGACUGAGACACGGCCCAGACUCCUACGGAAGGCAGGAGUGGGGAAUAGUGGACAAUGGGCGGAAGGCUGAAGCAGCAAUGCCGCGUGAGUGAUGAAGGCCUUAGGGUUGUAAAGCUCUUUUACCCGGGCUGAUAAUGACAGUACCGGGAGAAUAAGCUCCGGCUAACUCCGUG
rnacentral:rRNA from 1 species